GUGGUUGUCGUGAUGGGCGUAUGGUGGAUGCCUUGCCAGACAGUACCGAUUGAGGACGUGUGGGGCCGCGAUAGUCCUGGGGGAGCCGCCGACAUGGCUUUGAUCCCAGAUGGGUCCGAA
rnacentral:rRNA from 1 species